GGAAGUGCUGUAUGGUGGGAGAAGUCUGCCUGAAAAACCCUCUGAUAACCAAAAGUCCGAGGAAAAACUCAGCAGUGAAAAAUACGGACCCAACUGGUUUUCCAGCCCUGCAGUGGCCACGGGACUGCUGCUGCUGUCCCAGAUAACAUUUUCACAACCCCAAAGAUCCCCGUGCUCUCAGAACCCACAAGGCUGCACGUCCACAGCUGGUUUUUACCCCUGUUUGUUCUCCCUGGCUUUGGUUUAGGGUCAGGGUGUUCGACCUGCGCGGGGGCGAGUCCGUGUGCUCCCUCUACGCCCACCAGCUGGGAGUGUCUGCGGUGCAGAUGGACGACUGGAAGAUCGUCAGUGGGGGAGAAGAGGGCCUGGUGUGCGUGUGGGACCAGCGGAUGGGCACCAAGCUGUGGGAGAUGCACGCCAGGCACCCGGUUCGCCACGUGUGGUUCAAUUCCCACAGUCUGAUCACGGCAAACAUCCCUGAGGAGAGGAACCCCCGGGGCAGCAGCGGCGCCGACGAUGACCCCGCCGUGCACCGCAAGUGAGUUAAGGCAGCUCUCACAGAUCUGCUCUCCCUUAUAUAUUUUUUAAAUAGCACACUAAGCCCCUGAGUCAUAAUCCAGAGCAGGAACAGAGGAGGUAAAGCAUCUUAAAAAAAAAAAAAAAAAA